UCACUGUCUGCCUUCUACUCCUCCCUAUUUGUAUGACACACCACACAUAGAGGAGAGAAGAGAUGAGAGCAUAGCAGAGCAGGGCAAAAUCCUAGCUACUCCCUAUCCUGUAAGAUUCGCUCCUCGCCGAUGUCAGCCAUGUCGUCCUUUGACUUUCAGACGCCUCUGACACGUGAUAACCCUUGCUUGCCUAACUGGUCAGCUUUACCACCUGAAGUGCUCAAGCAUCUCGCCUGCCUAGGGACAAGGUACGGUCAUGUCCGGUAUCGCGCAGUGUGCAAGCAGUGGAGGAACGCCCUCCCACCCCUAGGGGACGUCAAUGACAACUUCCCUACCGAUCCAUGUGUGAUUUGGGGCUAGCUGGCUAACUAGAACAUAUGUAUUGGAAAUCUGUAUCUUUUUAUGUUCUGUUGUUUCAUUCCUUUCACCUUAAGUAGUGGGCAGAGUACUCUGCAUGACUUGCAUUGUAUGAAGUAGCUGGUACUUGGUAGUGCUAUGUUCUACCUUAUACAAAAAGAAACUGAAAGUGUGUGUGCAUUUAUUGUAUUUCUAAAUUUCUUAUCAAUGUAAUCGCUUGUAUGCAUAUACUGGGAUUGACUUGGGAGGGAUUUUCGCAA